rnacentral:tRNA from 1 species
GCCUUCGUGGUGUAACUGGAAGCACGUCUCACUCGUAAUCAAAAUUUCAGGAGUUCGAAUCCCGGCGAAGGCU